UGUGAUUAAGUAUUUCUCAUAACAGUUAAAGUACCUAUACAGAAAAGCUGAUUUGCAACAUAACUUAAGGAGUCAAUACAGUUUAAAGGAAGAUAACAAUCAGUAAUGUCCUGCUAGUUUCAGUUUUAGUCUCCCCUGUGGUAAGUAAUGUAAUUUUGACCCACUCAUUUUGAUUCCAGUAAUUGUGUUGCUUGCAUAAGCAAUUGUUUAAGUUUGUGUUAGGUCAGUUAGAGGAGAACCAAUAAAAGUAACGUCUGAUAUUUGGUAUGCAGAUGUAUAAGCAUUUCCGAAUCUAACCAUGUAUUUCGAAUUUUUAUUUUGGGCACAGUUUUCUUUCUUAAUGUAACUUUCCUUUGUUCAUUUUAAAAUUUAAUUUCCAUGAUUAGUUCAUAGGUACUUGGGGACAGGACUUUUUUUUGUUUUUUGCCCUCCCUCUUUUUUCCAAAAUCCGUUAUUUUUUUGUUUUCUAUUAAUUUCAAUUAUUUUCGCCUCUUUCUGUAUUAUACGAAGAUAAAGAUACCACAAAUAACUUGUAUUUGCUAUUUAUUAUCAUUUCCAAGUUUACUAUCCACAGCGGUCACUGAUAUAUAAUCUGUUUAAAAAUUACUCCAACUGAUCUAAAAUGAUGAUAUUUAUUCAUUUUAAUUGCAUCGAUAUAUCUAAAUUGCCAAUACAUAUAUAUUUUGUCUAUGUUGUAAAAGUUCAACCCCCAUUACAAGGUAAACUUGCAAUCAGUUGUCAACGUAAACAUUCCUGGAGGCCCCACCACAAGGUAAUCAAAGUACUGAAGUACUGAACAUCGAAUGACCGCAAGUUCUGGUGCGGAUGAUGAAUAAAUGACAGGGAAUUCAGUAUCAUUCUAUUCUUCUAUACUAAUGAUAGUGCAGUGCAAGUGCAUGGUGGACAUUCUUCUGUAAUAAUUCGUUUUUGUAAUAGAUUGGAUUUGAGUAGCAUUCAUAUUUUCGGGUGUUUGUUGCAAAACGUCUUGAGAUGUUCUUCCGCGUUAAUACAAAUUUUUGGUAUUCUUGAUUUGUUAUUGAUAUAUAUAUUUCUCCCGACAAAACAUUUUGAUAUUAUUUAUCUAUGUUCUUAAAAAUUAUGUUCACGAAUAUUUAUUGAUCAAAUUAAUACAUGAGGGUAGGAAUGACCUUUACCGUCAGGCGUCAAACAGUCAUUUUUGGCUACCGUUAGUGUCAAAUUGGUUAAAUUUUUACUGUGAUUUGUCAAAAUAUCCUUAUUGUGAUUCGUCAGAGGUCUCAAUUAGAUAUGGUUAUCGUUAUUUUUGGAAAAAAAUUAGCGUGAUUCGUCAAAAUCAGUCAAUUUUUUUAUAGUCUAAAAGAAAGUGUACAUUUUAUCAUCAUGCACCAAAAAUUACCGUUAACGUCUUUUGGCAGGAAUUUUUACCGUUAUUCAUCAUGAAUGUACCCCCAUUACAACCCUGAUAUAUAACAAGCGAUAAGGAAUGUUAUUUUGCACUCGAUAAUAUCCGCGUAAUUAUACGAAAUACGUUCGGUUAUCAGUCAAAAACGCAAGUCACAUGGGUAGAAAUGUCUGCGGCAACAUAACACCGGAAUGCCCUCACGGUCAUCCGCUGUAAAAAUGUAAUCAGUUGUCAAUGUAAACAUUCCUGGAGGCACUGUUUGCACCAUUAAAUGCUAAUUAGAUCGCUAAUUUGCCACUGAAAUGAUAAUUAGGUUAGAGGUAUACAGUAUUUAACUACGAUCUAUUGAUUUUUGAAGCAUGGGGGACAAAAAAUUAAGUGUUGUGCAUGAAAAUCAAAGGUGGCAGAGGGAAAUUCAAGUGUGGCACACCACCACUCUUCAAUAGGUCAUUGUGAUCCCUGAAUUUCAGAUCUCAUUUUCAGGGAGAUAAUAUAUGGCUAUGCCUCCUCAGACAUGGUCUUAUGACUGAAACGCAGGGGUGACAUGCAAAAAUUUAAUCCUGGUAUCUGUUUUACCACGCCACAAUUUUGGGUCCAAGUCAGGAACCUCUAGCCUUUGUUUGUCUUGUGUUUUUUUAGUCCCCUACCGUCGAAGGGGACUUUAGGUUUGGCUCCGUCUGUCUGUCUGUUUGUCUGUCCAUCCAUCCAUCCAUCAGUCCGUCCAUCCGUCAGUCCGGCAAAUCAGUUUUCCACACUUUUUUUCUGUCAUGCUUGAAGAUAUUGAUUUGAUAAUUUGUAUAUAGUUUUAUCAUGACAAGUUACAGAUCAAGUUUGAAUUUUGUUCCGGUCUGAUGAUUUUGUGCACAGUUAUGGUCCUUGGACUUAGAAAAGUCACUUAAAUAAUCAGUUUUCCACACUUUUUUCCAUCAUGCUUGAAGAUAUUGACUUGAUAUUUGUUAUAUAGUUUACACCAUGACAAGUUAUAGAUCAAGUUAGCAUUUUGUUCCAGUACAAUGAAUUUUUAACCGGUAGGGGACUAUGUAUUGCCAUGCAAUACUCUCAGAAUGCUUGUUUAAUUUUAGUUCAUUUAUAAAUUUCUCAGUUCUGUGUUUACUUUACUGAAUUAGUAUAAAUUACUGUUUAGGGGCCAGCUGAAGCUGCCUACGGGUGCGGAAUUUUCUUGCUGCAUUGAAGACCCUUAGUGACCUUGGACCUCUUUUGUCGUGUUGUUUCUGUCACACAUUCCCCGUUUCCAUUCUCUAUUCUACAUAUAUAUAUAUAUCUACAUAUUUUUAGAUACCGGAUUUUCGAAGGAAAUAUCGGUUAUUAAAAUGGUGAUGUACGGUGGGUGGCUGGGCGGAUCUUUUUAUAUAGAUUGGUUCUUUUGAGUGCAUGUUCAGAUAUUUAUAAAACUUCUGAAAACAGGAUACUCUUUAAAACUAAGCUUUUCCGGUUGAACCUACCAUAUUUAGCUGUGUAUAGUACGCGGUUGUGUAUAAUACGCACCCCCUUUUCAUCCCUCCAAAAUCGUGAAAAGAAAGAGCAAAUAAAAUAUUUUUUUAAUUUUUUUUUUAAGUCUAGUUCACUGUAAAAAGCUUUUAAUAGGGAACAAUUAAAUCAUGUAUUUAAUCUUCAUUUAAGUCUAUUGAAAGAAAAAGAUAAAAAUAAUAGGAUUGAUAGUUCAAUCAAAUAAUUUUUAAGUCACAAACAAUUAAAUGGUAGAGCUUUUAUCAUGUAAUUAACAUUUAUUAAUUUUAUAAAAGUAAAGUUAUUAAUAAAGAUCUCUUUUGAAAUCAAUGUUUGUCUAAGCUUGUCCCAAGCUGAUGUAGUGUUCAAAUAUUAUAAAAGAAAUAAUUAGAAUGUUAUGGAACAAAAGAAGUUAGACCUCAAACAAAAGUUGAUUAGCAGUAAUUAAAAUUUAAUGGCUCUUUAAACUGAUAUUUCCUUUUCAUUAAUCAUGUUGAAUUAGAGCACUGCCUGAGGUUAUUACAUUGAACACCUGUCAAAAGUUGACAUGAUUAUUCAAUUGCUACACACCCAUACUUAAUCCUUAAGUGCAAGUCUUUGUAAGAAUCAGGCAAUUUUGAAAAAAAUCAAAACAUAGCCGAAAAAAACCAUCGACCUAACCAUGCUAUUCUGAAGACACCCUCAUUCUGAAUAAGAAAUGGUUGGUCUUUCAUUUCUAUGUGUCUGGUAAUUCGAGAAAUCUCUAGAUAACUUUUGGUUAGAAUGGUUGCAAAUUAUUAAUUGUUAAUUUCUAGUGCAUUUCAACCAAACUAUAUCUUGAAUUACCAGAACAGGAAAAGGUAACGAAUGAUAUAUUCGUGCACCAUUAUACAUUUUGAACAUAAAGUAAUGUCAACUUUAGUGGGAGUUUUUGUUUGUCAUGUUUUCACCACUGCCUGAUUCUUAGUCAAAUUGGCACUUAAUUACAUUUUAAGCUCACUCGUGCAGGAUGUCACACAAGUACUUGUGUAUUCAAUGAAGAAGAAAAAAAACCUUUUUUUUUUAAUUAUAAAUUAAGAAAUAAAAUAAAAAACGUCUUGAACAUAUCCAAUAAUAAAGAAAAAAACGCUAUUAAUAAAAAAAAAAAAAAAAAAAAAAAAAUAAAAACUGUCUGUAGUCGUGUAUAAUAGGCACCCCUUCUACCAACUACUUUUUUGGGGGUAAAAAAUGCGUACUAUACACAGAUAAAGUGCAUUAUUACAUUUAUUUUGUGGAUAUCUGUUUUCUCCGUUUACGGUUUGUUGUCGAGCCUGCGACUUUUGUCGCAGAAAGCUCGACAUAAGGAUAGUGAUCCGGCGGCUACGGCGGCGGCGGCGUUAGCUAACUUCUUAAAAGCUUUAUAUUUUAGAAGGUGGAAGACCUGGAUGCUUCAUACUUUGUAUAUAGAUGCCUCAUGUUACAAAGUUUCCGUCAGUCACAAGUCCAAUGUCCUUGACCUCAUUUUCAUGGUUCAGUGACUACUUGAAAAAAAAGUUCAGAUUUUUUGGAAUGUUAAAUUCUCUCUUAUUAUAAGUAAUAGGAUAACUAUAUUUGGUAUGUGCGUACCUUGCAAGGUCCUCAUGCCCGUCAGAUAGUUUUCACUUGACCUCGACCUCAUUUCAUGGAUCAGUGAACAAGGUUAAGUUUUCGUGGUCAAGUCCAUAUCUGAGAUACUAUAAGCAAUAGGUCUACUGUAUUUGGUGUAUGUAAUGAUAGUAAGGGGUACAUGUCCAACUGGCAGGUGUCAUCUGACCUUGACCUCAUUUUCAUGGUUCAGUGGUCAUAGUUUAGUUUUUGUGUUUUGGUCUGUUUUUCUAAUACUGUAUGCAAUAGGUCAACUGUAUUUGGUGUAUGGAAAUAUUGUACGAUGUUCAUGUCAGUCUGGCAAGUUUUAUUUGACCUUGACCUCAUUUUCACGGUUCAUUGCUCAAUGUUAAUUUUUUGUGUUUUGGUUUGUUUUUCUAAUACUGUAUGCAGUAGGUCAACUAUAUUUGGUGUAUGGAAAUAUUUAAUGAUGUACAUGUCAGUCUGGCAGGUUUUAUUUUACCUUGACCUCAUUUUCAUGGUUCAUUGCUUAUGUUACAUUUUUGUGUUUUGGUCUGUUUUUCUUACACUUUAAGCAAUAGGUCAACUAUAUUUGGUGUAUGGAAUGAUUGUAAGGUGUACAUGUCUAACUGGCAGGUGUCAUUUGACCUUGACCUCAUUUUCAUGGUUCAGUGAUCAAAGUUAAGAUUUUGAGUUUUGGUCUUUUUUUCUUAUACUAUAUGCAAAAGGUCAACUAUAUUUGGUGUAUGGAAGUAUUUUAUGAUCUUUAUGUCAGUCGCACAGUUUUUAUUUGACCUUGACCUCAUUUUCACAGUUCAUUGCUCAGUGUUCAGUUUUUGUGUUUUGGUCUGUUUUUCUUAAACUAUAAGCAAUAGGUCAACUAUAUUUGUUGUAUGGAAGAAUUGUUAGCUGUACAUGCCUGCCUGGCAUGGUUCAUCUGACCUUGACCUCAUUUCCAUGGUUCAUUGUUCAAUGUUUAGUUUUCUUGGUUAAUGUUAAGUUUAUGUGACAGUUGUAAGAAAGCUUUAUAUUUAGGGCUAUCAACAUAAUAUCAAUGAUUAGUAAAGAAGGCAAGACAUUUCAGCGUGUGCACUCUUGUUAUUUACAGUAAUUUAUUUAUAAACUCUACACAUGUUUCUUUCCGGUGGAUUUAAAAUUUGUCUAUCAUAUUUUAUCAAGGUAAAUUUCUAAAAUAAUUAGUGUGCCACUUAGAUAAAAAUGACUUUAUAUGUUUACUUGUAUUUGUGUAUAUAUAUAUAUAUAUUCAAAAAAUAUCUUUAAUCUUUGGUAUUAUUCUGAAUUAAAUGUUCAAUGAAAUUAGAUGCUUCAACAUGUAUGAUUUCCUCAAAAUUCAGCGUAAGAAGAUAUAUUACUAAUUUAGAAAACCGCCUUGUGUCCCAUACUUAUUUCUAUGCGACAAUAAUAAAAACAUCGUAACCCAUUAUGCAAGAAAUCAGUGAUUUUUAUUGUGUAAAGGGAGAAAACUCUUUAGUAUGUACAUUACAUGCUAUUUGUCUUGCAAUGUUUUUGUAAGUCAUAACUGAAUUCUCACACACAAUCUUUGUUUUUCAUAUUAUUGGUAAUUUGGAAUGGCUUUUUAGCUCACCUGGCCCAAAGGGCCAAGUGAGCUUUUCUCAUCACUUGGUGUCCGUCGUCUGUCGGCUUCGUCGUCGUUAGCUUUUUACAAAAAUCUUCUCCUCUGAAACCACUGGGCCAAAUUUAACCAAACUUGGCCACAAUCAUCAUUAGGGUAUCUAGUUUAAAAAUUGUGUCCGAUGACCCCGCCAACCAACCAAUAUGGCUGCCAUGGUUAAAAAUAGAACAUAGGGGUAAAAUGUAGAUUUUGGCUUAUAUCUCUGAAACCAAAGCAUUUAGAGUAAAACUGAUUAUCAGGUCAAGAUCUAUCUGCCCUAAAAUUUCCAGACAAAUCUGACAACCUGUUGUUGGGUUGCUGCCCCUGAAUUGGUAAUUUUAAGGAAAUUUUGCAGUUUUUGGUUAUUAUCUUGAGUAUUAUUAUAGAUAGAGAUAAACUGUAAACAGCAAUAAUGUUCAGCAAAGUAAGAUCUACAAUUAAGUUGUCAUGACCAAAAUUGUCAGUCGACCCCUUAAGGAGUUAUUGCCCUUAAUAGUCAAUUUUUAACAAUUUUUCGUAAAUUUUUGUAAUCUUUUACAAAAAUCUUCUUCUUUGAAACUACUGAGACAAAUUUAACCAUACUUGGCCAUAAUCAUUAUUAGGGUAUUUAGUUUAAAAAAAUUUGUCCGAUGACCCCGCCUUCCAACCAUCAUGGCCGACAUGGUUAAAAAUAGAACAUAGGGGUAAAAUGCAGAUUUUGGUUUAUAUCUCUGAAACUAAAGCAUUUAGAGCAAAUCUGAUAGGUGGCAAAAAUGUUUAUCAGAUGUAGAUUUAUUUGCCCUGAAAUUUUCAGACGAAUCCGACAACCCUUUGUUGGGUUGCUGCACCUGAGUUAGUUUUUUUUACAAAAAUUUUGCAGUUUUUUGUUAUUAUCUUAGAUAUCAUUAUAAUAUCUAAUACUAUUAAUUAUGAUUUUAACCUUAUUUUACAAGAUUUCCAAAGCAUCAGUAAAUACAGGUGAGCGACACAGGCUCUUGAGAGCCUCUAGUUUUAAGUUUUAGCAGUUCAGUUAUCCAAUUAGUUUUGUUUUUUAAUUUCUUAAGUAACACCUUUUCUGAUAUUUUCUCAUUGGUAUCUAAUAUGUCAUUGAUAUAUUUUUGUCUCGCCUUGACAGAGUCAAAAAGCGAGACAUAGGUAUGCUGUUUCCGGUGGCGACGGCGGCGUCAACAAUGUAUUAGUUUGUGAUUAGGUCUAGUUCAUGGUGAACCACUAGUGGUAGGUCAAUGAUAUUUGGUAUGCAGUUGUCUUAGCAUUGGCACAUCUCAUUACCAUGGAGAUUAUUUGGCCCCGUCCCCUCAGUCAAGGUCUAUUGACUUUGAAACUUUUCAUAGUUAACAUGUAUUAGUUUGUGAUUAGGUCAAUUUAUGAGGAACCACUAGUGGUAGGUCACAUAUAUUAGUUUGUGAUUAGGUCAAUUUAUGAGGAACCACUAGUGGUAGGUCAAAGAUAUUUGGUAUGCAGUUGUAUAAGCAUGGGCAUAUCUCAUUUCCAUGGAGAUUAUUUGGCUCCGCCCCCUUAGUCAUGGUCUAUAGACUUUGAAAAUUUUGCUAAGUUUACAUGUAUUAGUUUGUGUGUUUAGGUCAGUUCAAGGGGAACCAUUAGUGGUAGGCUAAUGUUAAUUGGUGUUCAGUUGUAUAAGCAUUAGCACAUCUCAUUUCCAUGGAGAAUAUUUGGCCCCACCCCCUCAGUCAUGGUCUAUUUACUUUGAAACUUUUGCUUAGUUUACAUGUAUUAGUUUGUGAUUAGAUCAGUUUAAGAUGAACUGCUAAUGUUAAGUCAUUGAUAUUUGGUAUGCAAAUUUAUUGGCAUUUGCAAGUAUCGUUUCCAUGGAGAAUAUAUAUAGCCCCACCCCUGAUCAUGGUUCAUUGACUUUGAAACUUUUACAUAGUUUACAAGUGAAUGUUUGUGUUUAGGUUUGUUUAAUGGGAACGACUUAUAAUAAGUCAAUGGUAUUUGGUAUGCAGUUGUAUUAGCAUUGGCACAUCUCAUUCCAUGGAGAUUGUUUAGCCAUGUACCUUCAGUCAUGGGUCAUCGACUUUGAAUAUUUGCAUUACUUACAUGUUAAAGUAUUGCAAUUUUAAUUUCAACAUUUGCAUUAUCAAAAUACAAAAAGGCGAGACAUAUCGCUGUGAAAACAGUUUAUGUUACUAUCAAUCCAAUUCUUAAAAACAAGGCUGUUUUUACAUUGUAUCAUAGAUCAAAUUUAUUUGUUCAGUGUAUGUUCACUGGUGUUAAUAUGUCUUUUGAUUGAGUUAAGCCAUUUCAAUUGAUAUUUUAUCGUGUGUCUUUCUAUGUUGUGAUGUUACACUAUUGUUUCAGAUAAGGGUGAAGGUUUGGUACCAUUAAAACGUUUAAACCCGCUGUAAUUGUUUGCACCUGUCCUAAGUCAGGAAUCUGAUGUUCUGUAGUUGUCGUUUGUUGAUGUUGUUCAUAAGUGUUUUUCGUUUCACGUUUCUAUACGACCGCAAAAAAAUUUUGCGAUCGUAUAUUGAUAUGACGUUGGCGUCGUCGUUGAUCUAAGACACAUUGGUUUUUGCACUCUAACUUUAGCUGGGGCGUCCCACGGCCCAAGCCUGUCUGGCAAAACAGCCGUUUGACGUCAGAGGAAUCUCGGACUAAUUUACAGGUAUCCAUGAAGUCAUGGAGGAGUGGUUUCAUCUUUGUCGUCUUCACAAUGAUUAAUAGAAAAUAUUGCAUACUUCAGGCUGCUGUGGAAUUGUUUAACCACUGAUAUUGGUUCCAUAAAGUCAGGCUCAAAAGAUUCUGUACCCGAUUUGUUUGAGACAGAAACGGUUAUCGUGUCGGUUUUAUUAAUAUCUGCUGCAUCAUUGUCAAUGAUGUCAUCGAAGACAUCAUUCCAUGUGCAACUCUGUCUGAAUCUGUAUAAACAGUUUACUAUUAAACUUUUUAUGCCCCCGCCGUGGCGGUGGUGGCAUUAAGUUUUACCCUUGUCAGUCUAUACGUACGUACAUAUGUACGUAUGUCCCAAAAUUGGUUUCUGUUCUCUAACUUGAGUUUGCCUCAACCAAAUGUUAUGAAACUUAUAUACAAUGCUUAUUACUACUAAACACAGAUCAUGUUUGAAUUUUUGUGGCGUCACUAUAACCGUUCUAGAGUUAUGCCCCUUUAUAAAUGGAAAAAUUGCAAAAUGUUUAGUUUCUGUCUCUAACUUAAGUUUGCCUCAACCAAAUGUUAUGAAACUUAUACACAAUGCUUAUUACCACAAAACACAGAUCAAGUUUGAAUUUUGGUGGCGUCACUUUAACCGUUCUAGAGUUGUGCCCCUUUAUAAAUGGAAAAAUUCUGCAAUUUUUAGUUUCUUCUAAAUAUCAAGUAAUUUUUAAAAUUGGAGUUAUCUUCCUUUGUCCAUGAUUAUAGUUGAAUCUACAAUCAAUGCUUUAUACAAUGCAAUGUUUAAUUUUGACUUCCACGGAUUAAACACAAAUCAAGUUGAAUUUGGGUAGUGUCACUUUAACCAUUAUUGAGUUAUGCCCCUUUAUAAAUCGAAAGAUUGCAAAAUUUUUAGUUUCCAUUCUGUAACUUAAGUUUGCCCCAACCAAACAUUAUAAAACCUAAACACAAUAUUCAUUACCACAAAACUUAGAUCAAGUACAGAUUUUUUGUUUCCGUUUUCUAACUUAAGUUUGCCUAAACCAAAUUAUAUGAAACUUAUACACAAUGCUUAUUACUACAUAAUACAGAUUAAGUACUAAAUUUGGUGGCGACACUUUCACUAUUCUUGAGUUAUGUCCCUUUAUAAACAUGAAAAUUGCUGAAUUUUUCGUUUCCGUUCUCUUAUUUUAGUUUGUCUCAACCAAAUGUUAUAAAACUUAUACACAACCAUUCUAGAGUUAUGCGUGUUUACAAAUAGAAAAAUUGCUGAAUUUUUAGUUUCUGUUCUCUUCUUAAGCUAGCCUCAACCAAAUGUUAUGAGACUUACACACAAUGCCACAAAACUCAGAUCAAGUUCAAAUUUGGGUAGCGUCAAUUUUAUCGUUCUUCAGUUAUGUCCCUUUAUAACUAUAUGAUAUGCAAGUGGGGGCAUCAUCUGUGGACACAUGUGGACACUAUCCACAUUUAUUUGUUUGUUAUUUGUCUCAAAAUUGACAGAAGACGAAAGUGUAAAGUACUCCUCCAUGACUUCAGAUUGCAGUUUUGUAAUUGACGGCUCCAUAGGCCUACAUGCUAAACAGCUGAUCUUUGAUAAAAAAUGCUACAUAGAAAACAAAUUUCAUGUUCAUAUCAUGUAUGUACUAAUGUGAAAUUGUGAUUUAAUCGGAAAAAAAGCGGGUCAUGCCACGAAGAAUAAAAAGUUAUGUAACCCUGAAGUCAAAA